GUGCUGGCUUUGGUGGCACAUACACUAAAAUUGGAAUGCUACAGAGAGGGUUACCAUGGCCCCAGCACAAGGGUGCCAUGCAGAUACUCCAUACUUUA
rnacentral:snRNA from 1 species